AUGUAUAUUAUAGAGCAGUUCCAUGAUUACAAGAUGGUUGAAAACCGUCCUGUAUUCGAGCAAGCUCAUGAGAUAAUAUGCAUUGUUAAGGAGCUUGAGCUUCUUAAGUGCGAGUUACCGGGUAAAUUUGUUGCGGGCUGCAUAAUCGCUAAGCUCCCUAAUUCCUGGAGGAACUUUGCCACCACUCUGAAACAUCAGAGGCGUGAAUUCUCUGUGGAGGAUGUCAUUAGCCAUCUGAGUGUUGAGCAGAAUUCGAGGGCAAAGGACUCGCAUGGAAAAGGGGCCGAAGGGACUUCUAUCGCCAACAUGGUGAACCAGAGGAACCAUAACUCCCACAAUCCCAAGGGAAAGAACGGUGUCCAAUAG
rnacentral:rRNA from 1 species